ACAGGGUGCCGGCGCGGGGUGUAGCGAACAGGAGGUAACGCCCGCUGUGCCAACAGGGUGCCGGCGCGGGGUGUAGCGAACAGGAGGUAACGUCCGCUGUGCCAACAGGGUGCCAGCGCGGGGUGUAGCGAACAGGAGGUAACGUCCGUUGUGCCAACAGGGUGCCGGCGCGGGGUGUAGCGAACAGGAGGUAACGUCCGUUGUGCCAACAGGGUGCCGGCGCGGGGUGUAGCGAACAGGAGGUAACGCCCGCUGUGCCAACAGGGUGCCGGCGCGGGGUGUAGCGAACAGGAGGUAACGUCCGUUGUGCCAACAGGGUGCCGCUGCAGCUGGCGGACGGCUCCGGCACCAGCUUCGACCUGCAGAAGGUUGCCGUGGCCGACAAGUACGAAGUGCCGGUCAUUCUGCCUGAUGGCGUCACCUGCCCGACCUGCACCCUCCAGAUGCGCGUGGUGAGCCGCGGCUG